GAUGAACGCUAGCUACAGGCUUAACACAUGCAAGUCGAGGGGAAACGACAUCGAAAGCUUGCUUUUGAUGGGCGUCGACCGGCGCACGGGUGAGUAACGCGUAUCCAACCUGCCCACCACUUGGGGAUAACCUUGCGAAAGUAAGACUAAUACCCAAUGAUAUCCCACGAAGACAUCUGAAUGGGAUUAAAGAUUUAUCGGUGAUGGAUGGGGAUGCGUCUGAUUAGCUUGUUGGCGGGGUAACGGCCCACCAAGGCAACGAUCAGUAGGGGUUCUGAGAGGAAGGUCCCCCACAUUGGAACUGAGACACGGUCCAAACUCCUACGGGAGGCAGCAGUGAGGAAUAUUGGUCAAUGGGCGAGGGCCUGAACCAGCCAAGUAGCGUGCAGGAAGACGGCCCUAUGGGUUGUAAACUGCUUUUAGAAGGGAAUAAAGUGGGUCACGUGUGACUUUUUGCAUGUACCUUAUGAAUAAGGACCGGCUAAUUCCGUG
rnacentral:rRNA from 1 species